GCGCCAGUGGUCUAAAGGUAUGACGCUGGCUUCCCAAGCCAGCAAUGCGGGUUCGAUUCCCGCCUGGCGCA
rnacentral:tRNA from 1 species